rnacentral:rRNA from 1 species
UACGUAGGGUGCAGGCGUUAAUCGGAAUUACUGGGCGUAAAGCGUGCGCAGGCGGUUUCUUAAGUCAGAUGUGAAAGCCCCGGGCUUAACCUGGGAACUGCGUUUGAAACUGUGAGACUUGAGUGUGGCAGAGGGGGGUGGAAUUCCACGUGUAGCAGUGAAAUGCGUAGAUAUGUGGAGGAACACCGAUGGCGAAGGCAGCCCCCUGGGUUAACACUGACGCUCAUGCACGAAAGCGUGGGGAGCAAACAGG